rnacentral:ncRNA from 1 species
CGCCUCGGUCAGAAAUGACCAAGGUGACUAAACAGAAGUCAGCCGACGGCAUAGUAGCCUAAUGCCAAGAUGAAUACCUUGGACAUGGUGAAGGCC